AACGAACGCUGGCGGCAUGCCUAACACAUGCAAGUCGAACGAGCCCUUCGGGUCUAGUGGCGCACGGGUGCGUAACGCGUGGGAACCUGCCCUUAGGUUCGGAAUAACUCCCCGAAAGGGGUGCUAAUACCGGAUAAUGUCUUCGGACCAAAGAUUUAUCGCCUUUGGAUGGGCCCGCGUUGGAUUAGCUAGUUGGUAGGGUAAAAGCCUACCAAGGCGACGAUCCAUAGCUGGUCUGAGAGGAUGAUCGGCCACACUGGGACUGAGACACGGCCCAGACUCCUACGGGAGGCAGCAGUGGGGAAUAUUGGACAAUGGGCGAAAGCCUGAUCCAGCAAUGCCGCGUGAGCGAUGAAGGCCUUAGGGUUGUAAAGCUCUUUUACCCGGGAUGAUAAUGACAGUACCGGGAGAAUAAGCUCCGGCUAACUCCGUG
rnacentral:rRNA from 1 species